rnacentral:lncRNA from 1 species
CAGAGAGGCAGGUGGUGGUCCCGUGGUCGCUGCCGCUGCUGGCGUAGCCCGCGACGCCCCGUGCGUCGUCGCCGCGGAGGCGCGCCCUCGCCUCGUCAUCGAGCUGUACGCUGACACGCUUCGCCCAGAUGCGGACCGCCAUCUUCCGGUAAAUAUCUCUCCGCCAGCUUCCACCUCUCUAUCCUUUACCGGAAAAUGCAGUGGAAGGAAGAGGCUACAGGUGUGAAGUCGGAAGGGAGAGAGACCGGAGACAGGUGGCCGAUAUAUAGGGAGUCGGAGAGGGAAAUGGAGGUGGUGGGUUCGACGGGUCAAUGGAAGGGACCCACCUGAGCCCGUUUCUCCUUCUCAAUCACAGACAGGUUAAUUCAACGGGUAACCGAUGUCAGCGUGGACGAAACGUUGCCAAUUCCUUUGGCACGGUUUUUACAGCGGGAAUAUUCCAGUGGAGUUUCAUUGCCCCCAUUACAUUCAUAUCCAUUCCUGAAGACAAGAAGAUAAAAUAUUAUGCAUUAUAUAUAUAUAUAUAUAUAUAUUUAUAUUUACGAGAGGAUAUCCCUUUGGGUAGUGCGGGGUGGGGGAUGGCGUGAAGAUGCCAUGUGGCGGCAUAUGCCUUGGGAUUCGGUGGCUCGUCCGCAUGAUCAGGAGCCACGCGGAGACACGAACGCGCGUGCGGACGCCACGGGGAGGCGGUUGACUCUUGGUGGAGCGGCGGGGGCGGGGGCGGGGGCGGGGGCGGGCGCGUGUGGGAGGAGAGACGACACGGCGGAGAUGUCGCGACUUGAAGCCACCCUCGAUCCCUCCUCUACACUGUACAGGGAUACGUACAUGCUGUGCAGGUCGUGUUGUCGUGGAUGCUGUGUUCUGUCGCUCAUCAGCAUCAUCAUCGUCAUCGAGAUGCAGCUUCAGUGGGUGAGCCGAGUUCUGCAUUGUGUUCUGGAACUGAUGACCCUGGCGUUGCUGGGUGCAGGGAAUAACCAAGCGUAGUUCGUGCCGAAGUGGUACGUCUCCCAUGGCAGACAUCCGACGGCGUCCGAGGAGAUAGCAGCCGAUCGAACGCGUGUAAUGGAACGGUGUGCUCCCUCAUCUUAUGGUGUUCGUACUGCUUAAUCUCAAGUGGAUCUCUGUGAAACCAAAAGAGAGUUUUGUUCUCGCGUCAUCUUGCAUUUUCCUCUGAUACAACAAUGAAAUCAAGUUAGAUCAGCCAAGAUGAACGAAAGCAAACGCAGACGACGUCAAUGUAUGUAGAUUUUGGUUGGUCAACGUGUAUAGGAAAGUCCACUUGUGGUUGUACAACUACUUGGCCAUCGAUACUUGGUGCGACAUUUAUAAUCAGAUGCAUCUGAUUAUAAGUGUUGGGUUGACGAUAAUGUGGCAUAAGAGCG